rnacentral:rRNA from 1 species
AGCGAACGUUAGCGGCGGGCCUAACACAUGCAAGUCGAACGCGAAAGGUCUUCGGACUGAGUAGAGUGGCGCACGGGUGAGUAACACGUAGGUAAUCUACCCUUUGGCGGGGGAUAACGUUCCGAAAGGAGCGCUAAUACCGCAUAAGACCACGUGGUCUCCGGACCGAGUGGGAAAAGGUGGCCUCUUCUUGAAAGCUACCACCGAAGGAUGAGCCUGCGUCCCAUCAGCUAGUUGGUAAGGUAAUGGCUUACCAAGGCAAAGACGGGUAGCUGGUUUGAGAGAAUGAUCAGCCACACUGGCACUGGAACACGGGCCAGACUCCUACGGGAGGCAGCAGUGAGGAAUAUUGGGCAAUGGGCGAAAGCCUGACCCAGCCACGCCGCGUGAGUGAUGAAGGCCCUCGGGUCGUAAAGCUCUGUGGAGAGGGACGAAAACCCUGGUUUCAAAUAGGACUCCAAGCUUGACGGUACCUCUUUAGCAAGCACCGGCUAACUCUGUGCCAGCA